AUUGAACGCUAGCGGGAUGCUUUACAAAUGCAAGUCGAACGAGUGGCGGACGGGUGAGUAAUAGAUCGGAACGUGCCCAGUAGCGGGGGAUCACUACUCGAAAGAGUGGCUAAUACCGCAUAAUAUUGGAGCGGCCGAUAUCGGAUUAGCUAGUUGGUGGGGUAAAGGCUCACCAAGGCACAGCUCCGUAGCGGGUUUGAGAGGAAGACCAGCCACACUGUGACUGAGAAACGGCCCAGAUGCCUACGGGAGGCAGCAGGGGGGAAGUUUGGACAAUGGGGGAAACCCUGAUCCAGCCAUCCCGCGUGUAUGAGAAGGCCUGCGGGUUGUAAAGUACUUUUGGCAGAGAAGCGGUAUCUGCAGAAUAAGCACCGGCUAACUACGUGCCAGCAGCCGCGGUAAUUC
rnacentral:rRNA from 1 species